AAAUGAAUUGACGGGGGCCCGCACAAGCAGUGGAGUAUGUGGUUUAAUUCGAAGCAACGCGAAGAACCUUACCAGGGCUUGACAUCCCUCUGACAGGUAUAGAGAUAUACCCUCUCUUCGGAGCGGAGGAGACAGGUGGUGCAUGGUUGUCGUCAGCUCGUGUCGUGAGAUGUUGGGUUAAGUCCCGCAACGAGCGCAACCCUUGUCGUUAGUUGCCAGCACGUGAAGGUGGGAACUCUAGCGAGACUGCCGGUGACAAAUCGGAGGAAGGUGGGGACGACGUCAAAUCAUCAUGCCCCUUAUGUCCUGGGCUACACACGUACUACAAUGGCGGCUACAAAGGGAAGCAAAGCCGCGAGGCAGAGCAAAUCCCCAAAAGUCGUCCCAGUUCGGAUUGCAGGCUGCAACUCGCCUGCAUGAAGUCGGAAUUGCUAGUAAUGGCAGGUCAGCAUACUGCCGUGAAUACGUUCCCGGGCCUUGUACACACCGCCCGU
rnacentral:rRNA from 1 species